GACGAACGCUGGCGGCGCGCCUAACACAUGCAAGUCGAGCGGGGUCUAUUGGAGUGCUUGCACUCUGGCAGACCUAGCGGCGGACGGGUGAGUAACACGUGAGCAACCUGCCUUACAGAGGGGGAUAACGACUGGAAACGGUCGCUAAUACCGCAUAACAUCAUCGUAUCGCAUGGUAUGGUGAUCAAAGGAGCAAUCCGCUGUAAGAUGGGCUCGCGCCCGAUUAGAUAGUUGGCGGGGUAACGGCCCACCAAGUCGACGAUCGGUAGCCGGACUGAGAGGUUGAUCGGCCACAUUGGGACUGAGACACGGCCCAGACUCCUACGGGAGGCAGCAGUGGGGGAUAUUGCACAAUGGGGGAAACCCUGAUGCAGCGACGCCGCGUGAGGGAAGAAGGUUUUCGGAUUGUAAACCUCUGUCUUUGGGGAAGAGUAGAAGACGGUACCCAAGGAGGAAGCCACGGCUAACUACGUGCCAGCCACCGC
rnacentral:rRNA from 1 species